rnacentral:rRNA from 1 species
CCUACGGGGGGCAGCAGUAGGGAAUAUUGCUCAAUGGGCGAAACCCUGAAGCAGCAACGCCGCGUGGAGGAUGAAGGUUUUAGGAUUGUAAACUCCUUUUGUGAGAGAAGAUAAUGACGGUAUGUCACGAAUAAGCAACGGCUAAAACCGUGCCAGAAGCCGCGGUAAUACGGAGGGUGCAAGCGUUACUCGGAAUCACUGGGCGUAAAGGGUGCGGAGGCGGGCUUGUAAGUCCGAUGUGAAAUCCUGUAGCUUAACUACAGAACUGCAUUUGAAACUAUGAGUCUAGAGUGUGGGAGAGGUAGGUGGAAUUCUUGGUGUAGGGGUGAAAUGCGUAGAUAUCAAGAAGAAUACUCAUGGCGAAGGCGGCCUACUGGAACAAUACUGACGCUCAUGCACGAAAGCGUGGGGAGCAAACAGGAUUAGAUACCCGAGUAGUC